rnacentral:rRNA from 1 species
GACGAACGCUGGCGGCGUGCUUAACACAUGCAAGUCGAACGGAAAGGCCCUGCUUUUGUGGGGUGCUCGAGUGGCGAACGGGUGAGUAACACGUGAGUAACCUGCCCUUGACUUUGGGAUAACUUCAGGAAACUGGGGCUAAUACCGGAUAGGAGCUCCUGCUGCAUGGUGGGGGUUGGAAAGUUUCGGCGGUUGGGGAUGGACUCGCGGCUUAUCAGCUUGUUGGUGGGGUAGUGGCUUACCAAGGCUUUGACGGGUAGCCGGCCUGAGAGGGUGACCGGCCACAUUGGGAAUGAGAUACGGCCCAGACUCCUACGGGAGGCAGCAGUGGGGAAUAUUGCACAAUGGGCGGAAGCCUGAUGCAGCAACGCCGCGUGCGGGAUGACGGCCUUCGGGUUGUAAACCGCUUUCGCCUGUGACGAAGCGUGAGUGACGGUAAUGGGUAAAGAAGCACCGGCUAACUACGUG